rnacentral:lncRNA from 1 species
UUAAAAUGAUAGAAUUCCAUUUAACCUCUGGCAGAUGUUCAAAAUACAAGAUUAAAAUAAAUCAAGUUUCUGGAAGAUUGUGUGUGAGGAAAGGAAGACAAGGUGAGGAAAGGGGAUAAUUGGAUGGGGUUUAUGGGGGUGUAAAUUAAAACACCUGAGACAUUGAUAGCUUAUAACUUUGCCUUAGAAGGGAGCAGAGGGUGAGCCGAAAAAGUAGAGAAGAAAGAGGUCACUGGAUGCUGUUUUAGGAAGGAAGAUCAUUUCAUAGUGAAAAGUUGCUCAAGAAAGGCUACUCUAGAAGAAAACAGACUUCUGUGAGCGAUCCAAGCAGAAAUGACUGCUUUAAGAACUGAAUCAAUCUCUCAGAAGAGGAUGACCUUAGACCUUCAGGAUGUUCUUUCCCAGGUAGUCUUAGGACUAGAAGCCUCUGGAAACUCUGGCCUAAUAUACAAAUCAUGGAACCGAAAGAAUGACAGGUUCCUAGAAGAUCUAGAAUGGCCAUAUAACCAUGCUUUCAGUUUGUUCAGACUGGCAUCAUCAGUGAAAAUUCAUCAAUAA